UGCGGGGGGGGCAAGCGUUGUUCGGAAUUACUGGGCGUAAAGGGCGCGUAGGCGGCCUUCUAAGUCGGACGUGAAAUCCCUCGGCUUAACCGAGGAACUGCGUCCGAUACUGAAGGGCUUGAAUCCGGGAGAGGGAUGUGGAAUUCCAGGUGUAGCGGUGAAAUGCGUAGAUAUCUGGAGGAACACCGGUGGCGAAGGCGGCAUCCUGGACCGGCAUUGACGCUGAGGCGCGAAAGCUAGGGGAGCAAACGGG
rnacentral:rRNA from 1 species